rnacentral:rRNA from 1 species
UUCUUUAAGAACCCAAUUUAAAGUAAAACCUGCUCAAUGAUAAAUUAAAUAGCCGCAGUUUUACUGUGCUAAGGUAACAUAAUAAUUAGUUUCAUAAUUAGAAAAUAGAAUGAAAGGUUAAACGGGAAAUUCCUGUCUCAAAUUAAUUAAUUAAAUUUUUAUUUUGGUAAAAAAACCAAUUUAAAUAUGAAAGACGACAAGACCCUAAUAAACUUUAUCAUUUAGUUGGGGCAACAAUAUAAUUAUACUUUAUAUUCAUCACAAACCUUAAAUUAUAUUAAAAAUAGAAUAGUUACUAUAGGGAUAACAGCGCAAUUAUUUUUAAAGUUCAUAUUAAAAAAAAUCAUUACGACCUCGAUGUUGAAUUAAUUUAAACAAUUUGGCGCAAAAGCUAAAUAGUUAGGUCUGUUCGACCAAUAAUAAAUU